UAUAAUGUAUUUGAUAUUGAUUGCACAUAAAUACAGAAAAUCAGGGGGUAUUCAAUGAGUUGUAAUGACAUAUUCAGAAGGAUUCUAUGUGAUUUUCGAGGGGUGUACAUGAGGGAUUUAUGACUCAUGAACUGAGUGUUAGCAAGAAGUCUCUGAGUAUAAGCAUGCCGUAUACAAAAAGUUUCUAACUAAAGACAAGGCCAU
rnacentral:lncRNA from 1 species